rnacentral:rRNA from 1 species
AUGGAUCGCGUGAUGAAGCUGGCGUCGGAGAGAGCGGUGGUGAUCUUCACCCUGAGCUCCUGCUGCAUGUGCCACACCGUGGCGCGGCUCUUCUGCGACCUGGGUGUCAAUGCACUGGUGCACGAGCUCGACCAAGACCCUAGGGGAAAGGAGAUGGAGAGAGCUCUCCUCAAGAUGCUCGGGAAAGGCCCGUCUGUUCCAGUGGUGUUCAUCGGCGGGAAGCUUGUCGGCGGGACAAACAGGGUCAUGUCCAUGCAUCUCAGCGGCGAGCUUGUCCCAAUGCUGAGGAAUGCAGGUGCCCUCUGGCUAUAG